GAUGAAGAACGCAGCGAAAUGCGAUACGUAAUGUGAAUUGCAGAAUUCAGUGAAUCAUCGAAUCUUUGAACGCAUAUUGCGCUCUCUGGUAUUCCGGAGAGCAUGCUUGUUUGAGUAUCAGUAAACACCUCAACUUCCAUAUCUUUUUUGAAAUGGGAGUUGGACUUGAGUGAUCCCAACGCUUUUCCUCACCGAAAAGUGGCGGGUUACUUGAAAUGCAGGUGCAGCUGGACUUUUCUCUGAGCUAUAAGCAUAUCUAUUUAGUCUGCCUAAAAACAGAUUAUUACCUUUGCUGCAGCUAACAUAAAGGAGAUUAGUUCUUGUGCUGACUGAUGCAGGAUUCACAAAGACAGGCUUCGGCCGACUUGUAAACUCGAUCUCAAAUCAAGUAAGACUACCCGCUGAACUUAAGCAUAUCAAUAAGCAGAGGA
rnacentral:misc_RNA from 1 species